AAGUCGUAACAAGGUAACCGUAGGUGAACCUGCGGUUGGAUCAUUAAAAAAAAAAAUUGGUUCUUCCCUUAAAAACGGUUGAACGUCGGUGCUCCUUUAACAAGGAGCUUGACUACUCCAAUUUUUUGUGAACUUGUAAACUGAAAAAAAGAAAAUGUUUUUGAUCUAGUAGUGAAAAAAAUUUGGGUGAUUUAUUGCCCAAGUUUUUUUUCCUUCUCUUGAAGAAAUUAUUUUUUAUUAACUCUGAAGAAUUAAACCUGUCUUUACCGUUUUUUAUAAAUAAAAUAAUUAAUAAACAACUUUUGACAACGGAUCUCUAGGCUCUC
rnacentral:misc_RNA from 1 species